UCCUCGGUAGCUCAAUGGUAGAGCACGCGGCUGUUAACCGCGCUGUUGUAGGUUCGAGUCCUACCCGGGGAGCCA
rnacentral:tRNA from 100 species